rnacentral:lncRNA from 1 species
GUCAAGUAAUAUUCCAGUGAUGUGAAUAAUCUUUAUAAACUGAAUUAUCUUGUUGACAAUCUGCAGGUAUACAGAUGGUGCUAGUGAAAAAAGGUACAAUUCUUAAGUGGUUAUGAAGCAGUCAAUUAUUUUCCCAAGUGUUACAUCAGCAGUUUCUGUUCCAUGCAAGACUAAACAGACAGAAAGCCAAGCUGUGAAGUUCCAUUUCCUGUAUCCUGUAUCCCAGCUGGAAAGCCAUCUUCCUUUAUCUAUCAGCCAGAGAAAUCACUACUUCAGAGACCUUUCUGCUUCAGUCUGCAAGUGCCAUGGGACAACAGAGCUGGGGGCUGAAGUUUCUGGUGUCUGUCAUCAAUCAGGAAACAAAGCACAAUUUGGAAACUGCAAGUCUUGUUGUUAGAGGAAAAACAAGAAGGAGAUCUGCUUGACUUCAUCCAGAUGCCAGAAACAGAUCAGAGCAAGGAAGUAGUUACUAUGCCUUCCCUUUCCUACUAGAAAAGUCACUUGACUCAAUAAGAAGAGUCUAAUAAGAAGAGAGGACUCUUUCAGUCUUCAUUUAAGCAACUAAAGCCAACUUUAGUUUAUUUUGUUGCAUUUCUGUCUGUUAUCAUUUUACCUACAUCCACCUAGGUAGAAGGUCUCCCUGUCAGAAGAUCCUAACAUUCUAAAUUUGUUCAUCCUGGCAAGCUUUCACAUUGGCAUAACAACUCUAGGACCUGUAUUUCCUGUAACCCUGAAGAACCUACUCUCAGGAUAGAGAGAGUGACAGAGCUCAUCUUCCUCUCCAUAUGGAUGUAUGGAAUGAGAAAACUCAACUUACUGACCUUGGAAGAUAGAAAUAAAAUGCUGAUUUCCAGCCA